GUGUGUCCCCUAAGUCUGACUUGCACUGUGUGUCAGGCAGAUAUGUCCUGGGUAGUGUGCUCUGAACCAGAGUCCCUGCAUCUGCCCCACCCCAGCCAUAGGCUCACCAUCUUGUUCACUUAAGGGAACAAAGAGGUAACACCCAGAACUCUGAGCCUGCACACCCCUGGUGAUCCAGCUGUGGCAGCUCACCAUCUGAUUAUGGAGGCAAUUUAAAUGGCUGGAAUCCCAUGGUUUGCUGGGGCACGUCAAGACCCAGGCUUCCAGGUGUGUUCCCCGAAUCUGGACACCCUUCUUUGAGGAGCCCAGCCUGACUUCAGGAGCCUGCCUAAAUAGCAGGGAAGUUACACACAGCCAGAGGAAUUUCAAGGUCGGGAGAACAAACCUAUCCUGGGGAAGCCAGCAAAUUCCUUGCUGAUGGAGCCCUCUGAUUUAUCUGGAAGGAGAGGAAAUCACAGGCCUGCAUAGCAUAGAGUGAUAACCUUGGGUUAGUGCAAUAUAAACCUCAGGCGUUAUUUUCUGCAUCCCCGCCUGAAGGGACCUUGGUGUGUUAGUCCUGCAAAUAAAAGCCAAAGUUGUGUGACUGGUACCCAGAUGUCCUGGAGGCCCCUGGGCUUGGAGAAGACUUGUUCGAGGACCUGGGCCUCUGCAGCUCUACUCUGCUAUGCUCACACAGAGCUGAUACAUCUUAGCAAGCAACAGACAACCUGAGAGAGCAUGAAUCCCUUCUCUAUCUGGGGCAAAGCUUUUCCCUUCAAGAUGACUUCAAGGCAAAAUUUGAUUGAUUUUAAGCAGACACGUCAGAUGAUCAGACUCUGAAGAGUCACACUAGAAAGCUGAAGUUUUUCUUGGUACGCUGUCAUGAAGAUUUAGGUGGAGAGGUGGCUCAGAGGUUAAGAGCACUAGCUGCUCUUGUAGAGGACCCAGGUUCAGUUCCCAGCAGCCACAUCAGGUGGCUCACAACCAUCUGUAACCGCAGCUCCAGGGAGCCUAAGUCUCUGACCUCUGAGGCUGUCAUACAGAGACACUCAUAUACCUAUAAAUAAAUAAACAUAAGUUUUUAGAAAGCAA